rnacentral:rRNA from 1 species
CACGAAGUUAGCCGGGGCUUCUUCUCACGCUACCGUCAUCAUCGUCGCGUGCGAAAGAGCUUUACAACCCGAAGGCCUUCACCACUCACGCGGCAUUGCUGGAUCAGGCUUGCGCCCAUUGUCCAAUAUUCCCCACUGCUGCCUCCCGUAGGAGUCUGGGCCGUGUCUCAGUCCCAGUGUGGCUGAUCAUCCUCUCAGACCAGCUAAGGAUCGUUGCCUUGGUAGGCCGUUACCCCACCAACAAGCUAAUCCUACGCGGGCCCAUCCCAUGGCGAUAAAUCUUUGUCCCUCAAGACACAUACGGUAUUAGCUCCAGUUUCCCGGAGUUAUUCCGUACCACAGGGCAGGUUCCCACGCGUUACUCACCCGUGCGCCACUAGGGCCGAAGCCCUCGUUCGACUUGCAUGUGUUAGGCAUGCCGCAGCGUUCGUUCUGAGCCAGGACUCAAACUCU